GAGGGGUGCAAGCGUUGUCUGGAUUUAUUGGGCGUAAAGAGCUCGUAGGUGGGUUUGUAAGUGAAAAUUGAAAUACAAUGGCUCAACCAUUGGAACGGUUUUCAUACUGCAAAUCUUGAGUUAUGUAGAGGUAAGUGGAAUUUCUGGUGUAGCGGUGAAAUGCGUAGAUAUCAGAAGGAACACCAAAGGCGAAGGCAACUUACUGGACAUAUACUGACACUGAGGAGCGAAAGCGUGGGUAGCAAACAGGAUUAGAGACCCUGGUAGUCCACGCCGUAAACGAUGAGUACUUGUGAUGGGAGAUUCGACCCUUUCAUUGCCGGAGUUAACGCAUUAAGUACUCCGCCUGGGAAUACGACCGCAAGUUGAAACUCAAAGGAAUUGACGGGGACCCGCACAAGUGUGAUUAUGUGGUUUAAUUCGAUGCAACGCGAAGAACCUUACCCUGACUUGACAUGUUAGUGACCGUUCCUUGAAAGCAGUUCAUUUCUUAGGCUUGCCUAAGAACACUAUCACAGGUGAUGCAUGGCUGUCGUCAGCUCGUGUCGUGAGAUGUUCGGUUAAGUCCGAUAACGAGCGCAACCCCUAUUUUUAGUUGCCAGCACGUAGUGGUGGGGACUCUAGAAAGACUGCCUGGGUUAACCAGGAGGAAGGUGGGGUCGACGUCAAGUCAGUAUGUCCCUUAUGUUCAGGGCUACACACGUAAUACAAUGGAAUAUACAAAGGGUUGCAAAUCCGCAAGGUGGAGCCAAUCCCAAAAAAUUUUCCUAAGUUCAGAUUGCAGUCUGCAACUCGACUGCAUGAAGCCGGAAUCACUAGUAAUCGCGAAUCAGCAUGUCGCGGUGAAUACGUUCCCGGGUCUU
rnacentral:rRNA from 1 species